CUGUGGGUCUGUAUUAAUUUUGGUUGAUUGUCACCUAAUGCCAACCUCCCAUACCUUGUCUCAAAAUUUCUCUCUUAUUGCCAUUCUUGAAAAAACAAAUUUAGUUUUUAAGUAUGGAUUGUCUACAACAUACCAUUAGAAACGCCAUCUCUACAACAUAUGAAUUAUUUUUAAAUAAUUUUUUAAAAUAUUUUACAUUUAUUAAAAAAAUAUAAUUUUUUAAAAACGACUUUUUUUUUUAGUGAGCUCAUCAUAGACCCCUAAAUAUAUUGGGCCGCCUUUGUUUAUGCAAAAGAUGCUCUUUUUCCAGUUCCUUUGGUCACACUCACGUGCCUGCUUCCAUUUCCCUACCCUCUCGCCGCUACCAGCAUUCACCCAUUUCCAAUUUCCCACCCUCUC
rnacentral:lncRNA from 1 species